rnacentral:rRNA from 1 species
ACGAACGCUGGCGGCGUGCUUAACCCAUGCAAGUCGAACGGUGAAGCGCCUUCCUUUUUGGUGGGUGUGGAUGAGUGGCGAACGGGUGAGUAACACGUGAGUAACCUGCCCCCUUCUUCUGGAUAACCGCAUGAAAGUGUGGCUAAUACGGGAUAUUCUGGGUCUGUCGCAUGAUGGGUCUGGGAAAGAUAUUGUUUCGGUGGGGGAUGGGCUCGCGGCCUAUCAGCUUGUUGGUGGGGUGAUGGCCUACCAAGGCGGUGACGGGUAGCCGGCCUGAGAGGGUGGACGGUCACACUGGGACUGAGACACGGCCCAGACUCCGACGGGAGGCAGCAGUGGGGAAUAUUGCACAAUGGGCGCAAGCCUGAUGCAGCGACGCCGCGUGAGGGAUGGAGGCCUGCGGGUUGUGAACCUCUUUCGCCAGUGAAGCAGGCCUGCCUCGUUUGUGGGUGGGUUGACGGUAGCUGGAGAAGAAGCGCCGGCUAACUACGUG